GUUUGAUCCUGGCUCAGGACGAACGCUGGCGGCGUGCCUAAUACAUGCAAGUAGAACGCUGAGGUUUGGUGUUUACACUAGACUGAUGAGUUGCGAACGGGUGAGUAACGCGUAGGUAACCUGCCUCAUAGCGGGGGAUAACUAUUGGAAACGAUAGCUAAUACCGCAUAAGAGUGAUUAACACAUGUUAGUUAUUUAAAAGGAGCAAUUGCUUCACUGUGAGAUGGACCUGCGUUGUAUUAGCUAGUUGGUGAGGUAAAGGCUCACCAAGGCGACGAUACAUAGCCGACCUGAGAGGGUGAUCGGCCACACUGGGACUGAGACACGGCCCAGACUCCUACGGGAGGCAGCAGUAGGGAAUCUUCGGCAAUGGACGGAAGUCUGACCGAGCAACGCCGCGUGAGUGAAGAAGGUUUUCGGAUCGUAAAGCUCUGUUGUUAGAGAAGAACGUUGGUAGGAGUGGAAAAUCUACCAAGUGACGGUAACUAACCAGAAAGGGACGGCUAACUACGUGCCAGCAGCCGCGGUAAUACGUAGGUCCCGAGCGUUGUCCGGAUUUAUUGGGCGUAAAGCGAGCGCAGGCGGUUCUUUAAGUCUGAAGUUAAAGGCAGUGGCUUAACCAUUGUACGCUUUGGAAACUGGAGGACUUGAGUGCAGAAGGGGAGAGUGGAAUUCCAUGUGUAGCGGUGAAAUGCGUAGAUAUAUGGAGGAACACCGGUGGCGAAAGCGGCUCUCUGGUCUGUAACUGACGCUGAGGCUCGAAAGCGUGGGGAGCAAACAGGAUUAGAUACCCUGGUAGUCCACGCCGUAAACGAUGAGUGCUAGGUGUUAGGCCCUUUCCGGGGCUUAGUGCCGCAGCUAACGCAUUAAGCACUCCGCC
rnacentral:rRNA from 1 species